GGAGAGAUGGCCGAGUGGUCUAAGGCGCCAGAAUCAGGAGUCUUGUUAUCUGGUCCUCCGGGGCGUGGGUUCGAAUCCCACUCUCUUCA